CGAAGAGGUACUCCAGAUGCUACAGCUCUGGCUUCUACUACAGCACCAUCUGCAAGUGUUUUGCUGCUUGCGUGUCUGGUGCCACAUGCCCAGGCUAUAAGAGGCCGAUGGUUUUCAAAUCUGGGAAUGUUGUGGCGGCUAACGAAGUGGACGACGAAGGUAGCGGGGAUUUUGGGAAGCUUAUUGUUACCCAUGUGAUCAUGGAUGAUAUAAUGGUCGUGCCCAUGUCUAAAAUUUCGAGAUAUUAAAGAUUUGAGAAGACGUUGAUAUCUUUCUCACUGUUGUGUUUAUCACAAAGAUUUCGAGAUAUUAAAUUUUGGUAGAACUAAGGUUUCUUUUCCCGAAGAGAGAGUGCGCAAAAUUGGUUUUGUAUUUUUCAUGAUGAGUGUUUUUGUUAUAGAUACAUAUGUUCAGGAACUCUUGCUAAUGGAAUCCGCGCAAUAUUGAGUAGCA
rnacentral:lncRNA from 1 species